AAAACAACCAUAACAUGGUACUGAGGUCACAGAUGAAUAAGACAUUAUGAAUAGUCAUGCUGGAAACAAAAGCUUUGGUGAAUACUUGGUGAGAACUGUGGGGGUUGACAAAAGUUUGCAGAGCAAUUCAAAUAAUGAAGCACAUGGAAAAAUGUUACCUUGUGGAAAAUUUCCAGGCAAAAAGAGUUUUUGAAUAAACUGUUCGAUGUUGGGAUUUCACUCGCCCUUAUUUUCAUCCGAGUUGUGAAUCAUCCGAUCAUCGCCUUGAAGGGAUGAGACCUGGUGCUAGAAAUGGAAUCUGUUUUAUGCAACUAUGCUAUGUGGAGAAAAAUGCUGAAGAUGCAGAAUGCCAGCUGCUAAACGUCGUUUCAGAAAGGGCAUGGGAGAAACCCAGGAGAAGGUUUUUCAUUCUAAAUAAAUCAAGUCAUUAAUUCUGA